rnacentral:lncRNA from 1 species
AUAAUAAAGGCAACAGUAGUAUACCGCUGUUCAAAACUCAUAAAUCCAUGGACAAAAAACAAAAUCGGGGUAACAAACCAAAACCGAGCGAAACGCAUUAAAUAUAAGAGGAGAACAACGACACAACACCGAAACGCAACACACACAGAAACAGACCAAUCAUCAGACAAAACACCACGAGAAUAACAAAUGUAACAUGAAAACCAAAUACAUGAAUUUGGGAUAGACAAGUACCGUGCCACGUCUUAUCUCAAUAUAUCAAAAAUAAGAGAAAACACAAACGACUCAACGUUAAAAUGCAACACAAAGAGAAACGAACAAUAUUAUAACAAUGACCAUCUUCCUGACUUGGUACAGGACACUUUUAAAGGGGAAUAAAAGUGGUGGGUUGAACCUGGUUUUAAGGCAUGCCAAACCUCGCACUUUAAUGGCAAAGUUAAAUACAACACCGAAACGACAACACAACACCACAGGACCACAACACAAACAAACAGGAGAACAUAUUAGACACAGAAAAACAUGAUUAAUAGAUAACAAAAAGCAUCAGGUCCAAAAUUCAAUACGCCAAAAACGCGCC